GGAGUUUUAGUUUAAUUAAAAUGUCUGUGUUGCAAGCAGGGGAUGUAGAUAGGCUGCAGACUCCA
rnacentral:tRNA from 1 species